GUGCUCGCUUCAGCAGCACAUAUACUGAAAUGGGAACGAUACAGAGAAGAUUAGCAUGGCCCCUGAAUUUAAAAAAAAAAAGAAAUUAGGCAUUUCAUAUUUAA
rnacentral:snRNA from 1 species